rnacentral:rRNA from 1 species
UAAGGGUUCCUGGGUCAAGCUGAUCUGCCCAGGGUAAGUCGGGACCUAAGGCGAGGCCGACAGGCGUAGUCGAUGGACAACCGGUUGAUAUUCCGGUACCCGCUUUGAAACGCCCAAUAUCGAAUCAGGCGAUGCUAAGUCCCGUGAAGCCGCCCUGGAUUCUUCGGAYAAAGGGGAGUGGUGGAGCCGACGAACCAGACUUGUAGUAGGUAAGCGAUGGGGUGACGCAGGAAGGUAGUCCAGCCCGGGCGGUGGUAGUCCCGGGGUAAGGGUGUAGGCCGUGUGAUAGGCAAAUCCGUCACACAUUAAGGCUGAGACCUGAUGCCGAGCCGAUUGUGGUGAAGUGGAUGAUCCUAUGCUGUCGAGAAAAGCCUCUAGCGAGUUUCAUGGCGGCCCGUACCCUAAACCGACUCAGGUGGUCAGGUAGAGAAUACCGAGGCGUUCGGGUGAACUAUGGUUAAGGAACUCGGCAAAAUGCCCCCGUAACUUCGGGAGAAGGGGGGCCAUGUCUGGUGAGGGAACUUGCUUCCUGAGCUGGGUGUGGCCGCAGAGACCAGCGAGAAGCGACUGUUUACUAAAAACACAGGUCCGUGCGAAGCCGUAAGGCGAUGUAUACGGACUGACGCCUGCCCGGUGCUGGAACGUUAAGGGGACCGGUUAGC